CCAAAUUUUGGGCCAGGAAUUCCCAAAUUUUGGGGCUGGAAUUCCCAGAUUUUGGGGGAAAAUUCCAGGUUUUUGGGGUUUGGAAUUCCCAGAUUUUGGG